UACGUAGGGGGCAAGCGUUGUCCGGAAUCAUUGGGCGUAAAGAGCGCGUAGGCGGUCCGGUAAGUCCGCUCUGAAAGUCCGGGGCUCAACCCCGGGAGGCGGGCGGAUACUGUCGGGCUAGAGUCCGGAAGAGGCGAGUGGAAUUCCUGGUGUAGCGGUGAAAUGCGCAGAUAUCAGGAGGAACACCAAUGGCGAAAGCGGCUCACUGGACCACAACUGACGCUGAGGCGCGAAAGCUAGGGGAGCAAACAGG
rnacentral:rRNA from 1 species